UAUCAGUCUGUUCUUAUUGCCUA
rnacentral:siRNA from 1 species